GGACGCUCAUGAGGGUUUUGGCCCUUGUGGGAGUGGCGGACGGGUGAGUAGCGCGUGGGAACCUGCCCCUUUGUGGGGGAUAACCGAGGGAAACUUCGGCUAAUACCGCAUGCGCCCCNCGGGGGUGACCUNUGGGGGGAAAGAUUUAUCGCAGAGGGAGGGGCCCGCGUCGGAUUAGGUAGUUGGUGGGGUAACGGCCUACCAAGCCGAUGAUCCGUAGCUGGUCUGAGAGGGUGAUCAGCCACACUGGGACUGAGACACGGCCCAGACUUCUACGGGAGGCAGCAGUGGGGAAUAUUGGACAAUGGGCGCAAGCCUGAUCCAGCAAUGCCGCGUGAGUGAUGAAGGCCUUAGGGUUGUAAAGCUCUUUCGGCGGGGACGAUGAUGACGGUACCCGCAGAAGAAGCCCCUGCCAACUUCGUG
rnacentral:rRNA from 1 species